AACGAACGCUGGCGGCGUGUUUAAGACAUGCAAGUCGCACGGAGUCAUUGAUGUAGCAAUACCUUGAUGGCUCAGUGGCGCACGGGUGAGUAACACGUGAAUGACAUGCCCUGCAGAGGGGGAUAGCCCAGGGAAACUUGGAUUAAUACCCCAUGGUAUCGCAAGAUUAAACGGUGGCCGCAAGGCUGUCGCUGCGGGAUUGGUUCGCGCCCUAUCAGCUAGUUGGCGGGGUAACGGCCCACCAAGGCUACGACGGGUACCUGGUCUGCGAGGACGGUCAGGCACACUGGAACUGAGACACGGUCCAGACACCUACGGGUGGCAGCAGUCGAGAAUAAUUCACAAUGGGGGCAACCCUGAUGGUGCAACGCCGCGUGGAGGAUGAAGGUCUUCGGAUUGUAAACUCCUGUCAUCGGGAGCAAGACCUGACGGUGAAAAGCCGGCAGGGUUGAUAGUACCGGAAGAGGAAGGGACGGCUAACUUCGUGCCAGCAGCCGCCGCAGUAA
rnacentral:rRNA from 1 species